GCUUCUCUGCUCUUUGGCUGAGAUCAAGUGUGUACUUAUCAGUCCAGGACCAGCCCCAGCCAGUGGGUAGUCAUGAGGAAGUAUGAUUAGACAAAGAGGAUGUGAUCUAAUGGAAAGAAACUGAGGGGAACUCAGCAAGUCCUGUUUGUUCAGAUUCUUCUUGGUGUCUCUUCAGGAUUAGGAUGUUCCUAAUGCCCCUUUCCUCUGCACAUAGGAAGGGUACUUCUGGAGUGAGGGUUUUAUGAUUCACUCCAAAGAAGGGCAAGAGGGAGGAAAGGUUAAUUAGGAAUCAAAUCUAAGAGUUUGAUGAUUAAAUGGAUGUUGAGAAACAUGGACCACAGAAGAAUUUAGGGAUGACAGCUGGCUGGGAGAAGGAAAAGGAAAGGGAACUAAAAGGACUAAGGUAUACUGAGAGAUGCUGAGACCUAUUUGGGUUCUUCUCUGAGGCCUGGAAACAAGGUCCUCCUUCCUUGUGCUUGUGGCUGC
rnacentral:lncRNA from 1 species